rnacentral:rRNA from 1 species
CAAUCUGCCCAUAUCUGUGGGAUAACAGUUGGAAACGACUGAUAAUACCGCAUAAUAUCGUAGGAAGGCAUCCUCCAACGAUCAAAGAUUUAUCGGAUAUGGAUGAGCUCGCGUCUGAUUAGCUUGUUGGUGAGGUAACGGCUCACCAAGGCGACGAUCAGUAGCCGACCUGAGAGGGUGAUCGGCCACAUUGGAACUGAGACACGGUCCAAACUCCUACGGGAGGCAGCAG